rnacentral:rRNA from 1 species
GACGAUCAGAUACCGUCGUAGUCUUAACUAUAAAUGAUACUGACCAGAGAUAGGAUUCUGUCCAUCUCGACUUCUCCUGGAUCUUAGGGAAACUAUAGUCUUUGAGUUCUGGGGGGAGUAUGGUCGCAAGGCUGAAACUUAAAGGAAUUGACGGAAGGGCACACAAAGAGUGGAACCUGCGGCUUAAUUUGACUCAACACGGGAAAACUCACCAGGUCCAGAUACACGUAUGAAAGACAAGCUGAAAGACUUUUCUCAAUGAUGUAAGUGGUGGUGCAUGAUCGUUCUUAGUUCGUGGAUUGAUUUGUCUGGUCUAUUCCGAUAACGAGCGAGACCCCUCCGUUCCUACUAGGGGUGGCAGCCCGGCUCGCGCCCUCACGGGAGCUUGCUAGCAGCUACUUAAGAUUUACUUCUUAGACGUAUCAGAGCCGAUAAGGUUCUUGAAAUGGGUUAAUAACAGGUCAGUCAUGCCCUUAGAUGUUCUGGGCCGCACGCGCGUUACAAUGGCAUGAA